rnacentral:lncRNA from 1 species
CUGACACACAUGAGCAUUAAUAGCCAUGUUUACCUGUACUAGUUGAGAGCCAAGGUUGAAGUCAUUCAUGUGUGAAAAAUGUUGUCGAGGCAUCUGUACAUCUUCUUUGUCGAAUUGCAUUAUUAAAGUACAUCAAGAUGAGACAUCAUAUACAGUCAUAUAUAUUUGUUGAGCACAAAACCUUGACAUUUCCAAGAAACUAUGGGCGGCCAUGUAGCAUCAAUAUCUUAUAAAUUAUAUCACUGAACAUAGGUCAAGGUGUAUUCAGUAAACAAAGAUCUGAAGGGCUGUAUUUCCUUCAUCGAACACACUAUGCGUUCAUUACAGUUUGUGACGGAUUACGGAUACGAACGAACUAGCACUUGUUUGGCAGGAUAUAUUGUUGUGUGGCUGACAACUUGGCAAGCGUGCCAGGAUCAGCAUAUGUUGCUUGAAGACCACCACGACAAUAUUGAAGAUGUCAGAGACAGAGUGGAGCAUCAAAUCCCGGAUGUACGGUCUGGAUGUUGGUGUGUUGACAGAAUCGCUGGAGCGGCUUGGAAUACCUGUCAAGGCUGGUACCGACAAAUCAAUGUGUUUGACAACUUUAGAAUCCUAUAUGGUAGAAUGUCGGAAUGAUCCAAGCAAUGGGGGAAAAGAAGAUGCAGCUAUUACCAGCUGCUGCAGCUGAAAAGCAAAGAGGUUCCUAUCAUGAACCUAAGACCGUGACCACAUCAGCCAACAAUGGUGAGGGUAGCAGAUGUUAAAGGAGUUCAAGAUUCAUGGACCUGUCAUGAAGCAAGGAAUAGGUUUCAUCCGUUUGAAAAGACAGAUUGAGAAGAAAGGGGUUACAGUACUGUUGAGAUUAUUGAUGGUGUUCAUAGAGCCAUUCCACCAACAGAGUCACUGAGGGGAUACAUUGAAGGAAAGGCUGAUCUUAGUUUACCCAUUCUCUGGAAGCUUCUCCGAACAGUCUCUGAGGAAAAAUCUGCGACAGAACUUUAUCAGGACCUUAGUUGUGGUGUUCAAGGGGAAAAAGAAGAAACUUUAGAUUUUGUUUGGAGGAUUCUUGAUUUCUUGAGUCAGAAAAUAAAUUUCUCAUCCAAAGAGGAUGGAUCUGAUAAAAGGUAUGACCAGAACCUGAUGAUAAGUAUGACCCUGAGAACAAUACUCACUGGCUUGAGAGACCCCAUUAUUGUACAAGAAUUGAGGAACAUCGGUCUGGUUGGCGCUGCUGUGUCUGCCGAGAAGGAGCGGAAAAGGAAGAGCACACAUGUUGCUGAUGUUAGGUCUGUAGUGUUUGAAGAAUCAAAGGAUGAAACAAGUGAACUGUUAGGCGACAGUAAAUUGGCCGGAAGAACAUACCCUUUGAAGGAUGGGUCGAAGUAUCUUUCGAACUGAUGAAGGGAACCACUGAUCGGAAAUUUUCUUUUCCAUUUUUAGUUACUAAGAUGUCCAUCACUACCCCAAUCAUAGGUAUUAUUGUGAUCGAGCAAUAUCUCUUCAGUCAUGCAGAGUGUAGCAGAGUCAAUGUCAGACAAUCAGGACUGCCAGCAAUUAGGAAAGAAAAACUGGAAGCUGUAGUUAAGCUGUUGCAAGAGGAGCGACCUGAUGCAAUAUGUGACGUUCAGAGUGGAAGACAAGUAAUAUGUAUCAAAGCUGGUCAAGUGUUACAAGUGAAGUGCAUGGUCGCCACCAAUGUAAGUGAACCCACCACUGUCUUGUUUGAACCAAACAUUGAGGAACCUUGGCCUGAUGGACUGAAGAUUCAAGGAUCACUUCUUAGGUUGAAGAGAUUCACCAAAACAAACAUUCCGGUAACGUUAAUGAACUGUACUAGUCAUGACAUUAAAGGUCACAGCAGGACAUGUCUUGGUACACUGCAGCAAGUGAGAUCUGUCAUACCAUUACAAGGUGAGGACGAGCCAGAUCUUGACUGGAAUUUAGAUGAUAUCCUGGUAUCAGAUAAGACAUCAGACACCACAAGCAUACAAGAGCACUGGCAUCCCCCAGUAGACUAAGUGAUGAUUUAUGCGAGGAACAACAGGAAAUGAUCAAGCAGAUGUUAUAUGAAGAGUCAGAUGUCUUCAGUAAGACAGAUGAUGAUAUUGGGACAAUAACUGAUUUGAAAAUGGACAUUCAACUCACUGAUAAUGUACCUGUACAGAAGUCAUAUGUGUCCAUUCCUAGGCCUUUUUACAAAUAAGUUAAAGAUUAUCAAGAAGACCUUAUAAACAAGGGAUGGGUACGACACUUGAAGUCAUAUUACUCGAGCCCUCUAGUUUGUGUCAGAAGAAAGGACUCAAGUCUGAGACUAUGUGUUGACUAUUGGGCACUCAAUAGUAAGACGGUCUGUGACAGGCACCCUCUACCACGCAUGCAGGAUGCCCUUGACAGUUUGGGUGGAAACCAAUGGGGGAAGGCCUAUCACUAGGGCUUCAUCAAGGAAAGUUGUAGACCAUAUACUGCUUUUAUUAGUCCUUGGGGGCUAUAUGAAUGGAUACGCAUUCCUUUUGGUUCAACUGGAGCACCAAGUGCAUUCAAGCACUUAAUGAACACUUGCUUACAAGGGCUGAGGGACACUAUUUGUAUUUUAUAGUCUUCAGCAAAGAUUUUUCACAACAUGUAGUAGAUGUAAGGAAUGUCUUGCAAUGGUAAAAGGAAUCUGGGAAUAAACUAAAACCUCGUAAGUGCAAUCUAUUUAAGAAACAGGUGCGCUACCUUGGACACAUUGUCUCAGAACAUGGCGUUCAGAUGGACCCAAGAGACAGCAGAAAAGAACUCAAACGCUUCGGAUGAAAAAGCACAUUGUCGAUUAUGAGCAGUCAGGGACGGACAGUGAUUCUUCAGAAGGCAGUGGCCAAGUGGAGAUCGAUGUGAAGGAAGUUUAUCCUGAGAAGCAUUUUGCUGCGUCAGAAAAUGCCAAUGAAACAACUCCCAGUAUCAAGUCGGUCGACGGAUCAUGGUUCUAGUAGUUAUGAGGAUCAAGAUGAUACUGAUGUGAGUGCAAGUGAGCAGUCACCGGAUGGUGACAAUUCUGUGAGGACCUGUGACCAAAUAGAUCCACAGCUACAAUCAACAGAGAGUGAGGAAGAGUCCACAGAUUUUCAUUAUGCCGAUGAUGAAGCAGAGGUGAGGAAGUCACAACGAUGAAAGAAAUGUCCUGUCAAAACUGACAUAUGACACAACAGGAAAGCCAACUGAAUGUGAACAGAAAACAAACCUGAACCUUUUGCGACUUGCAUGUCCUGUGGUACCUGUUACAUAGUAUUACCCAUACCAAGUACUGUUAAUACCAGUGAUACAUUACCCCUGGUUCCGUCCAGAGAGACCUUUACAAGUGAAGAACUAACAUUAAAACUUCACUUUGAGCACAAUGGUAUGACCUUAAUAUUUUAUGUAUGGAUUGCCUUAUCGGAAGAGACAUCCAAGUUUGUUGUAUUUAGUACAGUCUGAAGUACAAAAGGUUUUUCCACUUAGAAUAACUAUAAGUAACAGUAAAAGGUUUGCAGUAUAGUUUGACUGGACGUCUAGCAGUAUUGUUACCUUCAGUGUCAAAUAUCAUGAUGUAUGUAAAACUACAGGUUGUACACUUUGAAAGUGGUAUUUUUCAACUACUGAAGAACUUAUGUCUUAAUAUUUUAAGCAGCGCUGUCUGUAAAUAUGUUUUGUAAAUUUGUAGUUCGCAUACAUAUCUGUUGAAAUGUUGGGUCGAUGUUUUUUUUAUGGGGGGCAGAUGUAAGAAAGUGAAAUAAUGAUAAUAUCCAUGGUCAAGGGGAAGUAACUCUUUGGGUGGGUGCGCUACCACCCAUAUAUAAUAUGUAUGAAGGCUGUUUAUGCAAAUAGUUUUCUAAAUGCUGUAUUCCUGUUACAGAUGUGCAUUAUGAUUAUUGUAGACAUCUCGAAUGUUGAGAAUGAUGUAUCAGCAGUAGCUAAACAGUUACAUUGAAGUUCACAAGUUGCUUUAAGUAUGUGUACCCGGUAGGUCAUUAUGUUUCCUGGAAAAGUGUCACUAGGUAAACUAUUUCUGAUAUGUGUUCAGAUGCAUUCCGUUGUGCAUUGUGAUUGGGACUUUGGGCUGUAUGCCGUUGGAAAAUAAAUGGUGACCUGACA